UCCCUCUUAGCUCAGUUGGUAGAGCGCGUCACUAGUAUAUCAUUGCGGAAUGACGAGGUCAGUCGUUCAAAUCGGCUAGCGGGAA